rnacentral:sRNA from 1 species
GGAUGUGAAGACAGUAUGGCUGCAACAUCACACACUCCAUUGAGCAUGAAGUUGGUUUGGCCAAUCUGACUUUCUUCCUCGUAGAUCUAUGCAUCUAUCCUAUGGCUGCUUGUCAGUGGGAGACCUUCCCUGGUGUAGGAGGACUGUUGUCUUUUGAGGGUGUUCGAGUGGCUGUGCUUUCCUGCUGAACCUCCAAACAGGCUCUCAAUGGUGUUCUAUAGAUGGAACUGCACAGUGGAUAACUUGUGGAGUUUGUUU